rnacentral:lncRNA from 1 species
CGUCCAUGGCGAUUCCCGAGUCGAACCGGGCGAGUCCGGUUCGACUCGGCGUUUUUUAAACACCGGUUGAAACCUUUCAUGCAUAUCUUCAAAUGCCUUGGGGGGUUUCUCUAAUAACUAGGGCUCCAAAUUAGUUUGUACCCCAACUUGCUUAGGUCUAACUUAGACUUGGAUCUGACCUGGAGCUAGGUCAGGUCCCAACAAUUGGAUCCAGGUUUGACCCAUUGGGUCUGGC